UACGUAGGGUGCGAGCGUUGUCCGGAAUUAUUGGGCGUAAAGGGCUCGUAGGCGGUUUGUCGCGUCGGGAGUGAAAUCCACUGGCUUAACUGGUGGCUUGCUUUCGAUACGGGCAGACUGGAGGUAUGCAGGGGAGAACGGAAUUCCUGGUGUAGCGGUGAAAUGCGCAGAUAUCAGGAGGAACACCGGUGGCGAAGGCGGGUCUCUGGGCCGAUACUGACGUGAGGAGCGAAAGCGUGGGAGCAACAGG
rnacentral:rRNA from 1 species